rnacentral:rRNA from 1 species
AACGAACGCUGGCGGCGUGCCUAACACAUGCAAGUCGAGCGCGAAUGGAGCAAUCCUAGUAGAGCGGCGCACGGGUGCGUAACACGUGGGUAAUCUGCCUCAAAGCCCGGGAUAACCUGCCGAAAGGCAAGCUAAUACCGGAUAAGCCUACGGACUCUUCGGGGUCUGAAGGAAAAGGUGGCCUCUGUAUACAAGCUAUCACUUUGAGAUGAGCCCGCGGCCCAUCAGCUCGUUGGCGGGGUAACGGCCCGACCCAAGGACGAACGACGGGUAGGCUGGUCUGAGAGGACGGAUCAGCCACACUGGAACU